rnacentral:rRNA from 1 species
AUUGAACGCUGGCGGCAGGCUUAACACAUGCAAGUCGAGCGGAGAUGAGGUGCUUGCACCUUAUCUUAGCGGCGGACGGGUGAGUAAUGCUUAGGAAUCUGCCGAUUAGUGGGGGACAACAUUCCGAAAGGAAUGCUAAUACCGCAUACGCCCUACGGGGGAAAGCAGGGGAUCUUCGGACCUUGCGCUAAUAGAUGAGCCUAAGUCGGAUUAGCUAGUUGGUGGGGUAAAGGCCUACCAAGGCGACGAUCUGUAGCGGGUCUGAGAGGAUGAUCCGCCACACUGGGACUGAGACACGGCCCAGACUCCUACGGGAGGCAGCAGUGGGGAAUAUUGGACAAUGGGCGGAAGCCUGAUCCAGCCAUGCCGCGUGUGUGAAGAAGGCCUUUUGGUUGUAAAGCACUUUAAGCGAGGAGGAGGCUACCUGGAUUAAUACUCUAGGGUAGUGGACGUUACUCGCAGAAUAAGCACCGGCUAACUCUGUGCCAGCCGCCGCGGUAACAC